rnacentral:rRNA from 1 species
GACGAAGGAUCCAAGCGUUAUCCGGAUUCAUUGGGUUUAAAGGGAGCGUAGGCGGACUUAUAAGUCAGUGGUGAAAGCCGAUAGCUUAACUAUCGAAUUGCCCAUUGAUACUGUAGGUCUAGAGUACAGAUGAUGUUGGCGGAAUAUGACAUGUAGCAGUGAAAUGCAUAGAUAUGUCAUAGAACACCGAUUGCGAAGGCAGCUGACAAAACUGUA